AAUUCUCCUCAUGGUCCAAAUGGACGUUUAUCGUGGCACGAUCGCUACCUCAUAAAAUUUAGUCCGGAGAACGUCUCAGUGAAGGGAAGAGUGCACAUGGCCGGCGAUACCAGCUUACACUGGGUGGGAAUUGAGUAGCGGGCGUGCUGAUUAGGAUCUUUGGAGAUGAGAGCUUGAGAAGCAUGCAGUUUAAACCGGCCGGAGAAAACACUAGCGGGCUUGAGGGAGUCAGCUUGACAGCGCAGCGUGAUUUGAGGGGUCAUCCAGUAGCACCUCGAGACUUUUGGUCGCAGAAGCGGAAUGGCGGUAACGUAAGCCGGGGCUGCGGCGGGAGGAGCAACUGAGAACAGUGGCCAACAGCGCAGCAAAUCGUUCGAAAAGGGAGAAAAUCACCGAUUCUGGCAGAGAUGCAUCCGCUGCGCUGAGGUCCGUCUUGAAGCUCCGAUAAAUCUCGAGUGUAUCCAUGACCGGGGAUUGGACGGUGGCAGGAACGGCAGGUUGCUGGGGGGUAUGGGACUCAGAGCGUAACCGGUCCAAGUGGCACUUGCUGCGGGCUUGGCUGAGGGCAUUCACAUUGACGCGCAUCCUGGUCUCUCCGGAGGCGAGACUUGGAGUCUGUCGGAUGUUACCAUGUAAGAGUGUGUGAAGCACACCGUAUGUUGUUUGGAUGAAGUAAUAUAGAGACAUACUACUAACAUGAUUAUUAAUAGAGUGCAAUCUCCAACAGAAC
rnacentral:misc_RNA from 1 species